GGCCGCGGGAUAAACAAAGAGCAAGGAUAACGGCGAAAACAGACCGACACAUGGAUUCAUGGAUUCUGAAACAAGAAAACAGACCGACACAUGGAUUCUGAAACAAGUCGGGAAACACUCGUUCUUCGGUAUGACUUCGUGGUGAAAGACUCGUUGCACCCGCGAUUCGAUACUACCAACGAGUAUCCGAAUUGGCCUCGAAUCUGCAUAAUACUACUCUUUGCUGUCUCAAUAGUGUUCCGUGGUAUACAUAGAGCCCUACGUCGGAUUUAUUUUCCAUGUGGCGGCACCUUUUUUUUAGUGAUAUUAAAAAACUCGAAAUAAAAGUUGUUUUUCUUUCACAGUUCUAUCCAAUUAUGCUCAAAUCGGCAUACGACUUCAAUGAUUCCAAAGUUGAUCCCUCGCGCCCUAGUAGUAGAGACCAACAAAAUUUUUAUCGCGACCGUUCGAUUCUCCGGAUAUGAUUUGGUUGUCAGGACUUUUCUCCUUAUUUCCUAUCCCAUCGCCUUUCCUAGAAAGGGGGUG
rnacentral:lncRNA from 1 species